GCGGCCGUGGUGGAAUGGCAGUCACGCAGCACUUAGGAUGCUGUGGGAGAAAUCCCGUGUGGGUUCGAAUCCCACCGGCCGCAC
rnacentral:tRNA from 1 species